GGAGGAAACCACAGGGCCGGUCCGCCCCCUUCGGAGGGGAAAAUACCCUGGCCCACAGACCGACCCCAGCGGCCCAGUCGACCCCAGAUCAUGAGUGUAUUUGAGAGUAGGGGGUUAGUCGGGUGGAAAGCGAGGACGCUGGAAGAACUGACUCUUGCAGGGGCCACACUAGGAGGUGUCUAUACAGUUCUCCUGCCUCCUGCCCCCGCAGCACGGGGGCGAACACAUCUGGAACAGGGCGUGUGGGGCUGCGAGAGAAGGUGUCAAGCUAUAGGACAGUAUUUUGUGAUUCGUCUCACAAACGACAAGACUGAAGAUUAGAGAAGGGAGAGCAGCGGCUUUCUCAAGGAUCCAGGGCCAAGAUGCAUCAAAGAAAAAACCCAGCAUGCCCAGGAUGCUGUGGAGCAGACCAAGGCCUGCAACCUGUGCCACAGGCUCAGAAGAAGAGAAAACACUCGGGAAGGGAUGGAGAGGCAGACAAAGCUGAAUGAAGAGUGCCUGUCGGGAGCACGGAGAGAACUAGAGGACUAUGGAAGGCCAGGAGCAGGAGACCUGUGGGCCCAGUGAGCUGCUCAGACCUCUGCACUCAGUGGGAUUCCCAACAGGCCUUGCUCAAAGCUCGCAGGGUUACUCUGAGGUCUGCCUCUGUUGUGGAUCAGAGCUCUGAAUUCGCACCCUGCCUUCCUUUGCUGUGGGACUAUCGAGGAUUCCAGAGACUCACAGCUCCCAACCUGCCAAAGGUGAGCUUUCUAGUCCUCCCCUCCCCCACAUCUGUAAGCCCCACCCUGUGGGUAAGAGAUACUCCCAAACUACAGCUGUUUCCACCCGCCCUGCCUGGGGACGCCAACCACAGACAAAGGCACCAAGCCAUCACUUGCUACCUCUUAGAAUCCCGUCCUCAAAUCUGGGCUUCACAGCCAGUAAGGAACGCAGCCCAUUCACACAGUGUGGCUGGUACGCAGCCAGCUAAGGAGCUGUCCCAUCCCCCAAACCAACAGAGCUGCUGCACCGCUGACGCCCGGUCUCUGGCCCCGCCCUAAGCCACAAGCACACACCCUAGCUAAAGUCAAGACUUCACCCAGCCCCAUACCGCAGAUGCAGACGCAGCUCAGGAGAAGGCUGAGUGGACCUGGGGUCUGGAAAACCUGUUGGCCUGCCUGCCGGUUCACUGUCUUAUCUCCACCCACUGCUCUCCGGUUUCUCUAGCGGGAGACACCCCCACCCAGUCACUGAAGACUCUGCCUCAUACGGCCCUGGGUUGUUCUUCCAAGUCGCCUCCUUAGACCCAGCGACGCAAGACUUGUCCCCCACAAGUGAGCUCCCGCUCCUGAGAUCUUCAGGGCUCCUGCACGAGGAUUAUAGGAGUCUGUCCUUGUUACCUCCGUGAUGUAGCAUGCGGAGGCCAUCAGGCCCGGGGACUGCAGUUGGCCACGGGGACUGUAAGGCCAGAGCCGCAUUCAUGGCUCCGACAACUGAUAAGCCUGUCACUGUUACCACAUCCACAGUUAGACCUAUGCUGGCUUCUCUGAGCCCUUCAGAAACACCCUCCCAAAGAUGUCCCGGAGGCUCUGCGUGCUUCAUCUAACCCCUCUUUCCUCCGACGAAAUUCUUUGCAGUCCCACAGUCAAGCUGAUAAGGCUUGUGUCUGAUUUGGGGGUGCCUCUGAGGCCUCAGAAGUUCUCCUACUUGUCAGUAUCUCCAGGCCUCGUAUUGCUGUAGUAAUAAAUAGAUGGAUAUGGAUCUG